rnacentral:lncRNA from 1 species
GACCGCAGAGGUUGAACCCUGAACGGUUGGGGCAAGUAUGGACACAACAUUCAAGCUGGAUUCAGCUCUAAAUUUGGAUUGUGAUUAAAUAGUUGACACAGCAUAGGUUUCUAACACAGAAUGAAUGUGGUCUAAUAAACUUAAAAUUUGCCUUUGAGCAAUUCACUAUGCUGUUGAAUAUUAAUCCUCUCAAAAAAAUGUUUACAGAAAUUUUCUUUUUAUUUAUGAAAUCUGAAA